AUGUAUUUUUUUGUGAAAAAAUACAUUGUACUAAGUCUUAAAAUGCAUUAAUCUAAAAGUAUAUAUAUCUAUAUAUAUAUAUUAUUCCAAGAAAGAUUAUUAAUUUAUUUACUAGGGGGUAAGUUAUGAGUA
rnacentral:sRNA from 1 species